rnacentral:rRNA from 1 species
GGUCAAGCUAAUAAGGGCUCAUGGUGGAUACCUAGGCACA